AUACGGAGGGUGCAAGCGUUAUUCGGAAUCACUGGGCGUAAAGGACGCGUAGGCGGGUUGGCAAGUCAGAUGUGAAAUCCUACAGCUUAACUGUAGAACUGCAUUUGAAACUGCUAACCUGGAGUAUGGGAGGGGGAGAUGGAAUUAGUGGUGUAGGGGUAAAAUCCGUAGAUAUCACUAGGAAUACCGAAAGCGAAGGCGAUCUCCUGGAACAUAACUGACGCUAAGGCGUGAAAGCGUGGGGAGCAAACAGGAUUAGAAACCCUAGUAGUCC
rnacentral:rRNA from 1 species